rnacentral:rRNA from 1 species
UACGUAGGGGCUAGCGUUGUCCGGAAUCAUUGGGCGUAAAGAGCGUGUAGGCGGUCCGGUAAGUCCGCUGUGAAAGUCGGGGCUCAACCCUCGAAUGCCGGUGGAUACUGUCGGGCUAGAGUGCGGAAGAGGCGAGUGGAAUUCCUGGUGUAGCGGUGAAAUGCGCAGAUAUCAGGAGGAACACCUAUUGCGAAGGCAGCUCGCUGGGACGUUACUGACGCUGAGACGCGAAAGCGUGGGGAGCAAACAGG